rnacentral:rRNA from 1 species
AGUGAACGCUGGCGGCGUGCUUAACACAUGCAAGUCGAACGAGAACGGAUUAUAGCUUGCUAUAAUUGUCAGCUAAGUGGCGCACGGGUGAGUAAUGUAUAGGUAAUAUGCCUCUUACUAAAGGAUAACAAAUGGAAACGUUUGCUAAUACCUAAUACUCCUUAUUAACAGAAGUUAAUAAGGGAAAGAUUUAUUGGUAAGAGAUUAGCCUGUAUUGUAUCAGUUAGUUUGUGGGGUAAUGGCUUACCAAGACUAUGACACAUAACUGGUUUGAGAGGAUGAUCAGUCACACUGGAACUGAGACACGGUCCAGACUCCUACGGGAGGCAGCAGUGGGGAAUAUUGCACAAUGGACGAAAGUCUGAUGCAGCAACGCCGCGUGGAGGAUGACACAUUUCGGUGCGUAAACUCCUUUUAUAUGAGAAGAUAAUGACGGUAUUAUAUGAAUAAGCACCGGCUAACUCCGUGCCAGCCGCCGCGGUAA